AUGCUGAAUGUUCACGUGCGAACAGUUACAAGAAUAUGGAAUCGAGCGAAAGAACAACUUGCAGCAGGCCAAGAAGUUGAUGUUUCAACUAAAAAGCACAACAGUGGUAGAAAGAGAAAACAGCUAGAUCUGGCGAGAACAGCGACAAUCCCACUGAACAGAAGAAGAACUAUCCGGUCACUCGCAAGGUGUUUAGGGGUUCCACGGUCGACCCUACACAAGAGGUUUCAAUUG
rnacentral:rRNA from 1 species